GACGAACGCUGGCGGCGUGCCUAAUACAUGCAAGUAGAACGCUGAAGGAGGAGCUUGCUCUUCUGGAUGAGUUGCGAACGGGUGAGUAACGCGUAGGUAACCUGCCUGGUAGCGGGGGAUAACUAUUGGAAACGAUAGCUAAUACCGCAUAACAGUAGAUGUUGCAUGACAUUUACUUAAAAGGUGCAAUUGCAUCACUACCAGAUGGACCUGCGUUGUAUUAGGUAGUUGGUGGGGUAACGGCUCACCAAGGCGACGAUACAUAGCCGACCUGAGAGGGUGAUCGGCCACACCGGGACUGAGACACGGCCCAGACUCCUACGGGAGGCAGCAGUAGGGAAUCUUCGGCAAUGGACGGAAGUCUGACCGAGCAACGCCGCGUGAGUGAAGAAGGUUUUCGGAUCGUAAAGCUCUGUUGUAAGAGAAGAACGAGUGUGAGAGUGGAAAGUUCACACUGUGACGGUAUCUUACCAGAAAGGGACGGCUAACUACGUG
rnacentral:rRNA from 1 species